CCUCGGAUGAUGAUGAGAUUUUAUUUGGAAGUGGUUCGGGACAUCACCAUCACCAACAACAACAACUCUACUCUUCUUCGGGUCA
rnacentral:ribozyme from 1 species